CAAGGCUUCCAAACUCAGAGGACAUGAUUCGGCUAAAGCGGUUGGAGACGUGGUCGCAGAGCUGAAGAGGUCAUGCAAAGCUUGGUAACUUGAGCCCGGGCUGGCAAAGGGGAAUCAACAUGUCACGGUUGAAGCAACGAGCAGACACGAGACAAGAGCCGAAUGGAGACACGAGGGUAAAAAGUCCCAGGCACAGUUUCAUCCUCUCUGCUGUUUAAACCACACAGAGAGACACACAGCACAACCUCAACAAGAAGACGUCCCAAGGCGCUGACUCAUCCUCGCUCCAUCCGUUCAACUUGUUUGGCAGGAAUACAAUAAAAGGAAUUACAUUUGUA